rnacentral:misc_RNA from 1 species
AGACUUUUUCUUCCGCCUUCUCCCUCAGCUACUUCACCUUCCAAACCUUCUUUCUUUAAACCUCUCUUGAGACCCAUCUCUGUUUCACUCCCAACUUCAACCACCAUCUCUUUCUUGGCUGUCUUCACACCUUCUCAUGNNNNNNNNNNNNAGACAAUUGAUCAGGUUCAGGAAGUUGGUUCAGGUUUCUUGGACACUGCUCAACGUGUUUUUGGGAUUGUUAGUGAUUCUUUGAAGCCUGGCGUAGACGCAGCAUUGCCAAUUGUAAAGCAAGCUGGGGAUCAAGCUUUGAAGAUUGCUUCUCCUGCAAUUUCAGAG